rnacentral:misc_RNA from 1 species
GAAAUGCGAUAAGUAGUGUGAAUUGCAGAAUUCAGUGAAUCAUCGAAUCUUUGAACGCACAUUGCGCCCCUUGGUAUUCCAUGGGGCAUGCCUGUUCGAGCGUCAUUUGUACCCUCAAGCUAUGCUUGGUGUUGGGCGUCUUGUCUUGUUCCUUUGGGACUAGACUCGCCUUAAAGUAAUUGGCAGCCAGUGUUUUUGGUAGUAAGCGCAGCACAUUUUGCGUCCCAGCCCCUAAACAAUGGCAUCCACAAAGCCUCUUUCUCACUUUUGACCUCGGAUCAGGUAGGGAUACCCGCUGAACUUAA